rnacentral:misc_RNA from 1 species
AUGUGAUGUGCCGCUGCCACGGGCGUAGAUGCCGUGCUCCGACGUACUACGAUGGAACCCGAGCGCCAUGAGCGUGGCGUCGAGCUUGGCGUUUCAAGCGCGUGGCGCUUGACGAAGACCGUACAUGGCUUUCCGCAGGCGCAACACCUUGUGUUCUUGAUUGUUGACGAGGAACCCAGGAGGCUGCGAGACGUAAACUUCUUCCUGCAGUUCGCCGUUGAGAAAUACCGAUUUUACGUCCAUGUGAUGGAUCGGCCAUUCCUCAUGAGCCGCAAGCGCGAUCAGCAGU